rnacentral:tRNA from 1 species
UGGGGCGUGGUGCAAUGGUAGCACAGUGGACUUUGGAUCCAUUUAUUCUGGUUCGAAUCCGGACGCCCCAGCCU